UAUAGAAGGGGCCAUAAACUGGAGAGUCUUGACCAAUUAGAAUCAUUUGGUGUAGUUGAAAUAACAAAAUUGGAACUUGUUUGGUCAACUAAGGGAAACUCAGUCAAAUUCAUAAUUGUCUCAAUAGAAUCUAUUCCUUCUUUUUUUGUCUAA
rnacentral:rRNA from 1 species